CGAACGCUGGCGGCAGGCUUAACACAUGCAAGUCGAGCGGAUGAAGGUAGCUUGCUACCGGAUUCAGCGGCGGACGGGUGAGUAAUGCUUAGGAAUCUGCCUAUUAGUGGGGGACAACGUUCCGAAAGGAGCGCUAAUACCGCAUACGUCCUACGGGAGAAAGCAGGGGACCUUUGGGCCUUGCGCUAAUAGAUGAGCCUAAGUCGGAUUAGCUAGUUGGUAGGGUAAAGGCCUACCAAGGCGACGAUCUGUAGCGGGUCUGAGAGGAUGAUCCGCCACACUGGGACUGAGACACGGCCC
rnacentral:rRNA from 1 species